CAGUAGCCGCGGUAAUACGUAGGGUGCGAGCGUUAAUCGGAAUUACUGGGCGUAAAGCGUGCGCAGGCGGUUGUGUAAGACAGGUGUGAAAUCCCCGGGCUUAACCUGGGAACUGCGCUUGUGACUGCACAGCUAGAGUAUGGCAGAGGGGGGUGGAAUUCCACGUGUAGCAGUGAAAUGCGUAGAGAUGUGGAGGAACACCGAUGGCGAAGACAGCCCCCUGGGCCAAUACUGACGCUCAUGCACGAAAGCGUGGGGAGCAAACAGGAUUAGAUACCCCUGUAGUCCCUGUCUCUUAUAC
rnacentral:rRNA from 1 species